CUCUCUGCCCUGCGCCGUCCCCAUCCUCUGUAGAAGGAGCACGGCUCUCGUCGAUGUGCCUGGUGGGGAUCCGGUGCAUCCCCUCUCCACUCGCCUCCUCCUCUCCUGGGUCCCUGCGUUGCCGGCUCAGCCGCUUCUCCUGCGUCUUCUCCUCCCCGCUUCUCUCCUCCUAGUCGAGUCCUGGACCGGAUCGGCGUCCGGCGCAGGAGGCUCGGGGUGGUCGCGGGUUCGGCGCCAUCUCCUUCCUUCCCGUACACUGGGAUCAAACAGCCCGCGGCCUGGCGGUGCCGGCCUGGAUCCGGAGGCAGAUGGACCAGAUCCUGGAGCUGGGCACGAAGGAGCUCGAGGUCGACGACUCCGGCUUCGUCCUCCUCCUCUGACGUCGCCACCUUGCUCAGGUCCAACACAUCUAUCCAUCGCCCCAGUUUUUACCAUUUCGUCGUGAUUACCAUCCCACGCCAUCCAUAGGGUGUGCCUUCUGCCCUUCUCACCACUCUGAACUCGGAGCAAGUGGAAAUUGGGUUGGGGAAGUUUUUCGAGCUCGAAAUUAAACCCAGUUCUAGAAUAGUAGAUGCUGGUGCUGAGAUGGUCGGUAGGCAGUGGCACUCAUAGGUCUCCAUUGCUUCAAAUCUAUUUGGUUUUAGGUGAUUUGGCACCCAAAACUCACAACACUGUUGCUACACAUCAGUUCAGGAAUCAAGGCAAAUAGCGGUAUUUCCCUUUGGGGUGAAUGGACGAACUGAUUAUGGGAAGACCAACCAAGUAGUUUAUACAAUACUCACAAUUUCUCACACUUCCAGCGAAUUAAACUGACGAUUAGAUGUGCCUUCUCUCAUUCGUACAUUGUUUGGGGGUUUGGUCUGAGAAGUGGGUUGCAGCACUCAUGAUUUUGCUUGUUUCAGGGAUGGAAUGAAUUGGGGGUCAGCAUCUAACACACACACACACACACACACACACACACACACACACGCACGCACACGCACACACACACACACACACACAGAGGGAGAGAGAGAGAGGAUAAUUCUGUUUAUUAUGUCAACCAUGUAGUAGAAACCAGAUAGAACUAAACAGCUAGGGUUUUGAAGUUGACUCGGUAGCUGAAUCAUGGUCCAUGAAUUUGUGUAAAACGACAAGUGUGCUACUGAAUUAAAAUUCUACCUGUUCAUUCCAUUGCCCAGUUACCAUCUGAAAGGUUCUAUUUUGCCACCGCAACUCUAAUUAGAUUGUUAUAGUUCAGACUAAGGGGAUCAAGAUUAGUCAUCUGUUAGUUAUGUACUAUGGACCUCAACACUAGCUGAGUAGCUACGUAGCUAAUCAUUGAUCUUGUCUUGGGUGAAAGGCUGGCGUUUGUUAAUUCAGAUACUGAAAGGUAACCCGCACUGACUUUAUUUGUUUACUUUCCUUCUGAAAUCUUAUUUGCUUAGCUUCUAUUGACGACAUUUCUAAUCUUUUAUCUUCGUCGGCAAACUCAACUGCAUCUCAGUUUUCUAUUCCCAUUUCCUGGAUUGCGGGUCCUGAUGCGCAAGAUUCUUCUGUUUGCUAUGGGUCCUGGACGAUGGCAAGCAUUGACGUGCGUACGCCGUUGCAACAGCCACACCUCAACCCUCCCGACGCACGCAAUAAUCAGCGGUGCCAAAAUGAUUUGGUGUUUGCAAAGGUCGCUUUUGUUGCAUUUUCUACGUGAGAAACCAUCUCAGGCUAUUUGGAUGCACCUGCACAGUACUGAUAGUACAUGAAAUUCAUCAACCUGCUGUUGCCGCAACCAACCAAAAUUUGCUCUAACAGAGUGAUGAAUGCAAUAUGCAUGCUAAGCUUUCUUCAAAUUAUGCUAAUUGAUCUUAAAAAGCUGGCUACUGGUGUUAUUUGCUGCAAUUUAUUUCUGACAGCCAGGUAGACUUGGAAUGCUUUCGUAAUGCAAUUUAUUUCUGACAGACAAGCUAUGCUAAUUGAUCUUGAAAAGCUGGCUACUGGUGUUAUCUGCUUUGUGGAAGGCUGUUAGCAUUAAACUUUAGUGCUCGCCUGUUCAUCAUAGUCUCAUUCCCUAGAUAAUUAAUGAGGCAUGAAAAAUAGGUGAAAUUGCAGGAAAAUUGAAGAUGGGAACACGAUUCAUUUUGUCAAUGGGAACAUCUACUGUUACAGAUACACUUUCUGUAUUCUACCUAUCGAUGGCGUAAUGUUUGAAUAUCAAGUCAUUUCUUUUUGUCAUUAGCAGUUGCUUUUAUUUAUGUUCAUAUUCCAAGUAUGCAUAUGCUGCUCCGGUGGUGUUUUAUUAGUUGAUUGGCAUAUAUGGAUCUCUCCAUGUUUAUUAGUUGAUCUCCAACCCCUACUCUGCUGUGGUUCUGUGGGAGCAAGAAGAACAUGCAUGCUUUCUCUCUACAUCUAGGGUCCAUACGGCCAGAUUGACGGGCCUAAACUCUGGCUCAAAGGUUUCUUUCAAGAAUCAUGAGAGAACAUUCAAGGAGUGGAUUAUUUGGAAAUUAGAACCUUCAGAUUUCUUAGAAGUGAGGUUACUUUCCAACUAGAAUUAUAGGCAAGCAUUGGUCUUUAAUUUGGAAGUGAUUAUCAUGUCUAAGAAGGGAGAUCAACCCGGUUUGGUGUACAUGACCUUCACUUGGAUUUAUGUGAAUAUAAGCAUAAGAGGUCUAGUGGCAAUGCUACAAAAUCACUGCAGGCGAUAUAAUAACGUUGUAGAUAGACGGAGACUGAAUCAGUUGACACCACUUUGAUGUCUAUCGAGCCAAUGGGACAACAAAGAAAAGAAGAACCGGAAGCAGGGUAUCUAUCUUCACGAGCAAGUUGGCGUCUGUAAACCUUCACCGGAACCAUUCCAGCUCUUUCAGAGCCACAAGGCAAGGAAGUUGAGGAACCAAGACCCCAACGGUGCGGAGCAGUUUGCCAUCGAGAGGACUAGGGCUACCAUAAGGGACCUGUAGACCAAGCUCAACAUCUCCCUCGUGCCUCCAUCAACACCGUGUCCUGGAGGGUCGUCACCGUCCGCGACGACGAGCUACUGCCGCAGCUUUGCCAGCCGCACGGUUAGAGGGAGGCAUCAAGGGCCUGCCACCGCUCCCGGGGCCGAUGUGCGUGUAAUUUCUAUUAAUGUAUCUUAUGUAGCCAAACAACAACAUGCUCCUGUCAAUGCUAUAUCAUUAUGGGCGUGGCAUUUUUCUUCCUCAGGUGAUAUUCCAAUAUACAAUAAGUUCCAUCAAGAAUUGCAUGUACAUGUGCUGCUAUCCUGAUCCAAAAAGGGAAGUAAAAAGGGCGUUCAUCUA